CUCCUCAUCCGCACCGAAAACCAAUCUUCAUCUGGCCCCGCCAGGAAUCUUCGGACGGAGAUCUCCUGAAUUAUGCUUAGAAGUCGUGCUCUCGUGAGCACUUUUGGAAGGACCCAGACGAUCCUUCACCGAAACACGAGGCAGUGACGAGCUAACAACCAUCGCCUGCCCUUCUGGCGUACCAUCCCUACUCCUCAUCAUCUUCCGAAGUAGGUUAAACGAUUGUGAUUGAAAAUUUUAAUGACACUAGAACUCAAAACCCCUCCUUCUAGCGCUAAUGUUAACGCCAGGAUCUUUCUCCACAUCCCAAUCACGUAAGAC
rnacentral:lncRNA from 1 species